rnacentral:lncRNA from 1 species
AUGCUUACCUUGGAGAGAGGGGUUGUCAUGGCAACUCUUCCAGAGACAAUGUCUUCACCAGAGACCAAUUGUUCCAACUCCGGAGAACAAUCUGCUUCUGUGAUGACAAUUAAAGCCCAACAGGCAGGCCAAACCCAACAGCACCAGUCCGAACCACACAGAUGGCUUUGCCACUUUGAGAAAGACCUGAUCAUAACCUGGAAAAUGGGAAUGACGUAUGGAUUGACAAACUAAACAACUUCUCAGUCAGUUGCCAUGUUUGGAUCUUAUCUAGAAACUAAUCAUAACAGGUAAACUAAAAAGCACUCGUGGAUAAAGGUAGUUCAUAUUAAGCAAUUAUAGAUCAUUUGGGGGUGGGGUUCUGGGAUUUGAACUUGAGGCCAUCAUGCUGAGUUGCUCCCCAGUCCUUUUCUAUUCUUUUUUUUUUUUUUUUUUUUUUUUUUUUUUUUUUUUGAGGCAGGGUCUCACUAAGUCACUAGGUAAGCUCAGGCUGGAUUUAAACUUGUGAUUCUCCUGCCUCAACCUCCCAGAAUGCUAG